AGGUAAGCUACUAAGAGCGAAUGGUGGAUGCCUUGACUGGUAAAGGCGAUGAAGGACGUACUAGACUGCGAUAAGCUACGGGGAGCUGUCAAGAAGCUUUGAUCCGUAGAUUUCCGAAUGGGGCAACCCAAUGUAUAGAGAUAUACAUUACCUAUAUAGGAGCGAACGAGGGGAAUUGAAACAUCUUAGUACCCUCAGGAAAAGAAAUCAAUAGAGAUUGCGUCAGUAGCGGCGAGCGAAAGCGCAAGAGGGCAAACCCAGUGCUUGCACUGGGGGUUGUAGGACUGCAAUGUGCAAGAGGUAAGUUUAGCAGAACAUUCUGGAAAGUAUAACCAUAGAGGGUGAUAGUCCCGUAUGCGAAAAACAAACCUUAGCUAGCAGUAUCCUGAGUAGGGCGGGACACGAGGAAUCCUGUCUGAAUCCGGGUCGACCACGAUCCAACCCUAAAUACUAAUACCAGAUCGAUAGUGCACAAGUACCGUGAGGGAAAGGUGAAAAGAACUGAGGUGAUCAGAGUGAAAUAGAACCUGAAACCAUUUGCUUACAAUCAUUCAGAGCCCUAUGUAGGAAUACAGGGUGAUGGACUGCCUUUUGCAUAAUGAGCCUGCGAGUUGUGGUGUCUGGCAAGGUUAAGCAAACGCGAAGCCGUAGCGAAAGCGAGUCUGAAUAGGGCGCUUAGUCAGAUGCUGCAGACCCGAAACGAAGUGAUCUAUCCAUGAGCAAGUUGAAGCUAGUGUAAGAACUAGUGGAGGACUGAACCCAUAGGCGUUGAAAAGCCCCGGGAUGACUUGUGGAUAGGGGUGAAAGGCCAAUCAAACUUCGUGAUAGCUGGUUCUCUCCGAAAUAUAUUUAGGUAUAGCGUUGUGUCGUAAUAUAAGGGGGUAGAGCACUGAAUGGGCUAGGGCAUACACCAAUGUACCAAACCCUAUCAAACUCCGAAUACCUUAUAUGUAAUCACAGCAGUCAGGCGGCGAGUGAUAAAAUCCGUCGUCAAGAGGGAAACAACCCAGACUACCAGCUAAGGUCCCUAAAUCUUACUUAAGUGGAAAACGAUGUGAAGUUACUUAAACAACCAGGAGGUUGGCUUAGAAGCAGCCAUCCUUUAAAGAAAGCGUAAUAGCUCACUGGUCUAGUGAUUUUGCGCGGAAAAUAUAACGGGGCUAAAGUAAGUACCGAAGCUGUAGACUUAGUUUACUAAGUGGUAGGAGAGCGUUCUAUUUGCGUCGAAGGUAUACCGGUAAGGAGUGCUGGAGCGAAUAGAAGUGAGCAUGCAGGCAUGAGUAGCGAUAAUUAAUGUGAGAAUCAUUAACGCCGUAAACCCAAGGUUUCCUACGCGAUGCUCGUCAUCGUAGGGUUAGUCGGGUCCUAAGUCGAGUCCGAAAGGGGUAGACGAUGGCAAAUUGGUUAAUAUUCCAAUACCAACAUUAGUGUGCGAUGGAAGGACGCUUAGGGCUAAGGGGGCUAGCGGAUGGAAGUGCU
rnacentral:rRNA from 1 species